rnacentral:misc_RNA from 1 species
AAGACUAUAGACCUGCGGAGUACCUGCGGAAGGAUCAUUACAGAGUUGCAAAACUCCAAACCAUUGUGAACUUACCUUUGCCGUUGCUUCGGCGGGCGGCCCGGGUCCCGACCCGGCGCCCCCCGGCCCCGUCAGGGGCGCCCGCCGGAGGUAAACCAAACUCUUGAAUUGUAUGGCCUCUCUGAGUCUUCUGUACUGAAUAAGUCAAAACUUUCAACAAUGGAUCUCUAGAUCGGAAGA